AGUGAACGCUGGCGGUAGGCCUAACACAUGCAAGUCGAGCGGCAGCACAGUAAGAGCUUGCUCUUACGGGUGGCGAGUGGCGGACGGGUGAGGAAUACAUCGGAAUCUACUUUUUCGUGGGGGAUAACGUAGGGAAACUUACGCUAAUACCGCAUACGACCUACGGGUGAAAGCAGGGGAUCUUCGGACCUUGCGCGAUUGAAUGAGCCGAUGUCGGAUUAGCUAGUUGGCGGGGUAAAGGCCCACCAAGGCGACGAUCCGUAGCUGGUCUGAGAGGAUGAUCAGCCACACUGGAACUGAGACACGGUCCAGACUCCUACGGGAGGCAGCAGUGGGGAAUAUUGGACAAUGGGCGCAAGCCUGAUCCAGCCAUACCGCGUGGGUGAAGAAGGCCUUCGGGCUGUAAAGCCCUUUUGUUGGGAAAGAAAAGCAGCAGGUUAAUACCCCGCUGUUCUGACGGUACCCAAAGAAUAAGCACCGGCUAACUUCGUG
rnacentral:rRNA from 1 species